GCGGAUCGAUGGGAGCUUGCUCCCUGAGAUCAGCGGCGGACGGGUGAGUAACACGUGGGUAACCUGCCUGUAAGACUGGGAUAACUCCGGGAAACCGGGGCUAAUACCGGAUAACACCUACCCCCGCAUGGGGGAAGGUUGAAAGGUGGCUUCGGCUAUCACUUACAGAUGGACCCGCGGCGCAUUAGCUAGUUGGUGAGGUAAUGGCUCACCAAGGCGACGAUGCGUAGCCGACCUGAGAGGGUGAUCGGCCACACUGGGACUGAGACACGGCCCAGACUCCUACGGGAGGCAGCAGUAGGGAAUCUUCCGCAAUGGACGAAAGUCUGACGGAGCAACGCCGCGUGAGUGAAGAAGGUUUUCGGAUCGUAAAACUCUGUUGUUAGGGAAGAACAAGUGCCGUUCGAAUAGGGCGGCGCCUUGACGGUACCUAACCAGAAAGCCACGGCUAACUACGUGCCAGCAGCCGCGGUAAUACGUAGGUGGCAAGCGUUGUCCGGAAUUAUUGGGCGUAAAGCGCGCGCAGGUGGUUUCUUAAGUCUGAUGUGAAAGCCCACGGCUCAACCGUGGAGGGUCAUUGGAAACUGGGGAACUUGAGUGCAGAAGAGGAAAGUGGAAUUCCAAGUGUAGCGGUGAAAUGCGUAGAUAUUUGGAGGAACACCAGUGGCGAAGGCGACUUUCUGGUCUGUAACUGACACUGAGG
rnacentral:rRNA from 2 species